rnacentral:rRNA from 1 species
AUUGAACGCUGGCGGCAUGCCUUACACAUGCAAGUCGAACGCGAAAGGGGGGCAACUCCUGAGUAGAGUGGCGAACGGGUGAGUAAUACAUCGGAACAUAUCCAGUAGCGGGGGAUAACCUCGAGAAAUCGAGGCUAAUACCGCAUACGUCCUACGGGAGAAAGCAGGGGACCGCAAGGCCUUGCACUAUUGGAGUGGCCGAUGUCGGAUUAGCUAGUUGGCGGGGUAAAAGCCCACCAAGGCGACGAUCCGUAGCUGGUCUGAGAGGAUGAUCAGCCACACUGGGACUGAGACACGGCCCAGACUCCUACGGGAGGCAGCAGUGGGGAAUUUUGGACAAUGGGCGCAAGCCUGAUCCAGCCAUGCCGCGUGAGUGAAGAAGGCCUUCGGGUUGUAAAGCUCUUUCGGCCGGGACGAAAUCGCAUGGGUGAAUAUCCCGUGUGGAUGACGGUACCGGAAUAAGAAGCACCGGCUAACUACGUGCCAGCAGCCGCGGUAAUACGUAGGGUGCGAGCGUUAAUCGGAAUUACUGGGCGUAAAGCGUGCGCAGGCGGUUUCGUAAGCCAGAUGUGAAAUCCCCGGGCUUAACCUGGGAACUGCAUUUGGGACUGCGAGGCUAGAGUACGGCAGAGGGAGGUGGAAUUCCACGUGUAGCAGUGAAAUGCGUAGAUAUGUGGAGGAACACCGAUGGCGAAGGCAGCCUCCUGGGGCUAGUAC